rnacentral:rRNA from 1 species
GACGAACGCUGGCGGCGCGCCUAACACAUGCAAGUCGAGCGAUGAAAUUUUAACCGAUCUCUUCGGAGAGAAGAUAAAAUGGAUUAGCGGCGGACGGGUGAGUAACACGUGAGAAACCUGCCUUUCACAAGGGGAUAGCAUCGGGAAACCGGGAUUAAUACCCUAUGACACAUUUCCUUCGCAUGGAAGAAAUGAUAAAACUCCGGUGGGUAAAGAUGGUCUCGCGCCUGAUUAGCUAGUUGGUGGGGUAACGGCCCACCAAGGCCAUGAUCAGUAACCGGCGUGAGAGGGUGCACGGUCACAUUGGGACUGAGCCCCGGUCCAAACUCCUACGAGAGGCGGCAGUGGGGACUAUUGCACCAUGGGGGAAAUGCUGAUGCAGCGACGCCGCGUGAGCGGUGAAGGCUUUCGAGUCGUAAAGCUCUGUCCUAUGGGAAGAUAAUGACGGUACCAGAGGAGGAAGCCCCGGCUAACUACGUG